rnacentral:rRNA from 1 species
AUUGAACGCUAGCGGCAGGCUUAACACAUGCAAGUCGAGGGGUAUAGGUUUUCGGACCUAGAGACCGGCGCACGGGUGCGUAACGCGUAUGCAAUCUACCUUUCACAGAGGGAUAGCCCAGAGAAAUUUGGAUUAAUACCUCAUAGUAUAGCAGUUUCGCAUGAAACCACUAUUAAAGUAUCAACGGUGAAAGAUGAGCAUGCGUCCCAUUAGCUAGAUGGUAAGGUAACGGCUUACCAUGGCUACGAUGGGUAGGGGUCCUGAGAGGGAGAUCCCCCACACCGGUACUGAGACACGGACCAGCCUCCGGCGGGAGGCGGCAGGGAGGAAUAUUGGUCAAUGGACGCAAGUCUGAACCAGCCAUGCCGCGUGCAGGAUGACGGUCCUAUGGAUUGUAAACUGCUUUUGUACGAGAAGAAACAACAUUACGUGUAAUGUCUUGACGGUAUCGUAAGGAUAAGGAUCGGCUAACUCCGUGCCAGCCGACGCAGUAACAC